UUUAUGGAGAGUUUGAUCCUGGCUCAGGAUGAACGCUGGCGGCGUGCCUAAUACAUGCAAGUCGAGCGAACGGACGAGAAGCUUGCUUCUCUGAUGUUAGCGGCGGACGGGUGAGUAACACGUGGAUAACCUACCUAUAAGACUGGGAUAACUUCGGGAAACCGGAGCUAAUACCGGAUAAUAUUUUGAACUGCAUGGUUCAAAAGUGAAAGACGGUCUUGCUGUCACUUAUAGAUGGAUCCGCGCUGCAUUAGCUAGUUGGUAAGGUAACGGCUUACCAAGGCAACGAUGCA
rnacentral:rRNA from 1 species